rnacentral:rRNA from 1 species
GACGGAAGGUGCAAGCGUUGCUCGGAAUCACUGGGCGUAAAGGGUGCGUAGGCGGCUUGGUAAGUUGGUGUGAAAGCCCCGAGCUCAGCCCGGGAAGGGCACUCGAAACUGCCGAGCUGGAGUGCCGGAGGGGAGAGUGGAAUUCCUGGUGUAGCGGUGAAAUGCGUAGAUAUCAGGAGGAACACCAAUGGCGAAGGCAGCUCGCUGGAACGGUACUGACGCUGAGGCGCGAAAGCGUGGGGAGCGAACAGG